ensembl:lncRNA
AUUCCCACUCCAUAGACAGAGGUCCAGAUCACUUACACAACUCACUUGAAAGGAGAUUUAUUUGCAGAGGUGUGUUUUAAUACUGAAUGUGCUAUAACAUAGUAUUUAUAUUUUGUAAGUAAUAGAAAAUAAUAGAAUUCUGAUAUAAACUUUUCAUUAAAAAAGGAAAGCUGGUAACUCAUGCAUUUUUUCUAAAUAAAAACUCAUACUGACAACCUAAAACAAAGCCACAAUCUAACCUCACUGCAGACUUCUUUAACUUACAUUGCACCCCUCUUUGGUUACCUAAAAAAAGAAUACUGAAGCAAGUUUUUCCUUCCUCUUAUCUCCCAGUGUCUUCACAGUUUUAAAAAAAAAGAAUGUUUGUAUUUAAUUUAGACCAAAAGAAUGUAAGUGCUUUUCUUUUCCUUUUUAAAGCAGUUUUUCCUGAAACUCUGAUAGAAUAAAAUUACUGUGGAAAAAUUGUGUUUGAAAUCGCUCUGCCUGUUUGUGAUUAGUUAUGUUUAAGAAUAAUCAUACCUGCAUGUUUGGGGGUGAUUAGCAUAUUUGGAAUUACACUGUCACAUAGACGACAAACAUUUACCUAUAAAUUCAAAAGAAAUCAUGAUGUUUCAUUGUAGAAAAUGUUCUAAUACUGUAUUUACUCAACAAACAAAUUCAGGGAUUCUUAAAAGAAUUCAUUAUUAUCAGUUAUUAUUUUUAUUUAUGUAACUAUUUGCAAGUAAGACCUUAAAAACCAUUUUUUUAAAACAGUUCUAUAUGAUGUGUCAUUAUUCUACACACUUUACGGAAAGAGAUAAAUUGAGUGACAGGGAAGCUAUAGGAUUCCUCUGAUUCAUUGUCAGAUCCUGGGAGCAGUGCUGUGGCUAUAGUUCCUUGUCUUUAUUUAAUCCUGUAAGUCAUACAGAGGUCUGAAUCUGGUACAUUUUAGAUUUAGAAUUUAAACCCAAAUUGAGCAAUUUUGUUUUACUCUCUUAUUUCUUAGUUGCAGUGAGCAAAGUACGGCGAUCCAUACGUUUUUCUUAUUAGCACCAUAUUUGUUCUGAUUUCUGUCCCCUGUCAUAGAACUCAGUAGUUCAGUUUUGUUCUUGGCUCUGGGACAGGCAAUUUUUAGCUCUAAGGAAUAGUUAUUGUUUCUUCAACUUCAGGGGGAAACAUUUGCUAUAAAGCUCAUGACUUUAGAGUUUACUUUAACCAUAAGCCCAAGAUUUUCAUUUUGCUUUAAAAUUAGAGACUGACUAGUACAUCAGCUGGCUUUUAAACAUUUUGAUUAGUUGUUUGACAUGUCACCUACCGAGUUCAACCUAUCCUCCAUACCAAGCACACUAAAGACUUACGGUCCUUUUAGCUUGUCUGUAUUGAGGCCAGCUGUGAUGGUGCCUCCUAGCACUAAGUGUUUCUGAUUCCAGAAAGAAGGCAAUUCCUUGUUCUCCUCUGUUAUCAGAAACUGAUGAAAUUGUCUUCCCUAUUGCUUAGAUAGGCAAGUUAGGCAGUUUCAAACCCCUCAACUUUAUGGCCUCGUUUAACUUAGGUACUGAUUAUGUGUGUGUAUAAAUUAUUGACCAGUUUGCUCUCCCCAUUGGGAGGUGUCUUGAAUGAUGUAAUGUGCAGAACUGAUUUGGUUUCUGUGUCACUAUUAGUUUUUGGUAUUAUUGGGGGGAAUGAACUUCACAGUGGUAGGAAAGGCAGAAGUGUCUUAUUUGUUAUGAAAGAUGCUUUAAAUAAAAGCUUAAGUCAAAUCACUUUUUAUAUUAGAAAAAUGUUACACACUAAAACUGUACAAAUGAAAAUGAGCAUUGUCGUUCACUCAGAUUUCAACACUUUAAGCAAGAACAGUGUUUAAGUACUCACCUGAGUACCUGCUGUAUACAAAGUACUAUUCUAGAGACUGGCAUUUGAGGAAUGCCCAUUCACAUGUAAUAUUAACCUAAGCAAAAAUGUGCAAUAAAACGUCUCUUUCAUUCAGUUAGAGGACCAGGGAAUGCGGUGACAAGUGCCAAAGCAUGGGAAAAGUAGACCCCUUCGUUUCCUUGUCUACAAAAUGAAAGAUUUAUACUAGAUGACCCUGCAAGUUCCUUUAGCUUAAAUUUCUAUGGCUCUUUUACUAAAUUAAUAUUGACAGCAAUAAUAAAGCAGACCAUAAGUACAGUGAAAGACUAACAUUUAAUUAAUCAGCAAUCAGCAGAACAUUUUCAAUGGACGGAUUGUUAGGUUUUGUCAGUGUUUCCUUGGGUGCUAGCCCAGGAGAACUACCUGAAGGUGUAAUUCACUUAUUGUGCAAGAGUUCUGUUACGUGAGAUUCAGUCUGCAAAUAUUUAUUGAGCAUGUAUUACAUUUGAUGUAUUCUAAGAGCUGUUGUUGAUUAUGCAAAAAUAUGUGAGACUAUGUAGUGCUCCCUGGUGUUGGGGAGUUUACUAGUUGCUAGUUGAGAGAUUGCACUAGGGGGCUUAUUUGUGUGAUUGUUUUGUUUAUGAAGAGGUGCUCAAUACUUAAGAGCAUGUCACAUAGGAACUUUUCUCCUGUAGUAAUAAUAUAAUAUUUUAAGGCAGUAGAGAGUGUUAUAUUGUAAAUUUGGUUAUGUAAAUAAGAAAGGUGUGUAUUCUUUUCAGAAAAUUGAGUGUUGAGUUGAGCUUCACCACUUUAUUCAUCAAGGGUAGACAUUUUUUUUUUUUUUGUGGUACGCGGGCCUUUCACUGUUGUGGCCUCUCCCGUUGUGGAGCACAGGCUCCGGACGCGCAGGCUCAGCGGCCAUGGCUCACGGGCCUAGUCGCUCCGCGGCAUGUGGGAUCUUCCCGGACCAGGGCACGAACUCGUGUCCCCUGCAUCAGCAGGUGGACUCUCAACCACUGCGCCACCAGGGAAGCCCCCUGCAUUUGGUCUUUUUAGUUGCUUUCUUUUCUGCUUCCUUGAGGUUCUAAAGGUUCAGGUUAAAGAAGAGUAACAUGGGCCAAUAAGAGGAAGACUCUUUCUGCCCUGGGCAGGAUAAUAAACAAGGAACAAUAAGCUCUGAAACCUUAAUGCACUUGAUUGCUGACUAUGAGAUUAAGGUAGUUAACGCUUAACCUUAACCCACAUGAAUAAAAACUUUAAAACAUGAUUUAAUUUUUCUUUCUUGAGACGUUUACUUUUUUCUGUGUCAUGGACUGUGUACUUCCUAUUCAUAAGAGGAAAUAGAAAACAAUGAGGUUUGGUUAAUUAUGCACAAUACCUCUAUCAGGCAUCUAUUACAGGAGCUCCUAUAUAUAUUACAAGAAUGUGUGGGAGGUGAGGUUUUGUAUCGCAGAACAAACUGAAAACAUACAAGUGUAUUCCUUGCUAUUUGUACCCUAUUUGGUUUCUUAAUUUGAAGAGUGAGAGGUCGGAGUGACAGGUUCCGAAUCUGUUAUGUUUUGGAAUUUGGGGAAGCAAGAGUACAUAUGGUGGGAAAUACCAUCUCCUCCAAAUAGCUUUAUCUU